CCCCUGGGUUGGGCUGUUACCAGGGCGUUCCAGGCGGGGAUCUUGACACAUAUCCAGCUCGGGAGUAGAGUCUAUGAUGUCCUGAACAUCGGACCACUCAUCACUGCUUCCCAUACCUAUGCUGACAUUCCUCAUCUCCUGCGUGACCUGGACUUCCAUGUUCCGGCUGUUCCGCUUUUCUCGUGUCCUCUUGUUGCUCUUGGUUGUGCCAUUGUAUUCACUGAUGGGUUGGAUGCUC
rnacentral:lncRNA from 1 species